GGGCAAAAAUAAGCUUGUUCUGACACCAUGCUCAUCUAGUUCAUCGGGGAUUGAAGUUCUGAUUUCCUGGCUUCCUUAGUAUUUAAGCUCCCAUAAGUCUCCCACUUGGAAGAAUGCAACAAAAAUAACAAACAUUUUGCUGAAUGCCACAUUUUCAACUGUGAGGAAAAAAAAAAAAAAUCACUUUUGCUUUAGGUGCUAUUUAAAGGGAAGAUAUAGCAAAUUUUCUCCAUACCUGCCCCCCUCGAUAAGUACUAUGUAAAGAUGUUUCAUUUCAAAUGCUCUAUCCUGCUUGCUCCCACUCUUUUAAACAUGAGUCUCACUUUCUGUGUGUAUGUGAGUGUCUAUAUAAACGUAUGUUUGUAUGUAUUAUAUAUACAUUAAAAGCAUUGCCCUUUUCCUCACAUGACCUACUUAUGAAGGUCUAUAAGCAUGAAAAGUAGUUGUGGGAUAUGUAAGCAAAAAUGGCUUUACAUAUUUCAUAUGUGAUAUCAGAUAAAGCUCUAUAAAUACCUGGGGAAAUAUCUCUGGUGGAAAAAAAGCACAAAAUUUACAUUCGUUCAAAGAUCAUGUGAGUGAAAGUCAUAAAAAAGGAUUUUCCCACUAAUGUUAUAAAUACGGAAGCAAAAAUAACGCAGAGUUGUGGGUGUCGGUGUCAACUGUAGGCUGUGGGGAGAACCGUUAGUGGGAAUAGGUUUCCAGAAGAGGUUACACAUGUCAGGACUGAAGGGUUUUACAAAUGAAUGAAUAAGGCUCCACUUUUAAAAAUGACACAGGAUUAAAGACUGGAGAAGGGAGACGAUGGUAGAAUAUUCUGGACAAGGAAAUUAAUGGCGAGGUCAGAGUUCUAGAGCAGAAAGGGGAUUUACGUAGUUAAGAAGGAAAAGAGAACCUUCUGAGGGGAAAGUUUAUUGUUGUAGAUAAAAAUCAUUGACUUGACCAUGCACCCCUUUUUACAGUUAACAGCUAGCUUAAUAAGCAGUACCAAAGAUGUUUGCUGGCUUGGCCUAUUAGUACCAAAUAUUGUGUUCUGUGUAGCCAAAUGUAAUAUAAAUGAUAAAAGACUGCAGUAAGACUCAUGUAAAGGUUUUACACCUCAACUGUUACACCCUGCUUGCCCACACUCUUUCAAAUCUGGGUCUCUAAUAAAUAUUAAAAAAUUACUCCUGUGCUCAAAGGAAGUGUGAUUUUCUGUCCACCACCCGUGUCAUUACGCCUUCACUUACUAAGAAAAUUUAAAAGACAAAUACCCAAUUUUAGAUUGAAAAGGAUUAAACUGACUUUCAAACUGCAUUUUGCCUAUUUCUCUCUUUCUAGGCAAUGCUAGGUAUAAACCAUUUAAGGGAAUCACUGUUUUUGCUUUUUGUUUUUUGGCAAUCUCAAGCAUAGAUCUGCUUUUCUGUGUUCAUGUAACAGUCUCCUGUAUUUUAUGUCCAGCACUGGUUUUACAUUAGGUCUGGCAAUAUAAAAGCUAUGAUUUAAAAAUUAUCUCCUUAUUUAAAGAAAAAUAUGGAGGAAAACAUUUUGGUCACUUUUAGCAAUUUAUUGCAAUUCUUUUUAAAGGGGGAAAGACUAACUUGGGGAUUUGCAGUAAAACCUGAAGUAAAGAAAAAAAUUUCUCUAUUUUACCAGAAUUUCAGUGAGUAAAAACCCAUGGCUUUGUGUUGUAAAGUUAGAUUUGUGUGAAAUGAAACAAAAUGGAGUAUUUACCAAUAAUUUAUGAGCACAUUCUUCAGUUUAACUAUUAUAUAACCUGAAAGAUGAAUUGUGCUAUGAGUCGAUCUAUAUUUGGAAAUUUUAACAUAAGAGAAUGUUUUUUUCCAAAUCCACACAUCCUUUGUUUAAAAAUCCGUGCACUCCUGAAUGUAAGGUAUUAAAAUGCUACACCUUUUAGUCUUUGUUUAUUUUAACAUUCAAUUAAUGAGUACCCGCACAUACACUGUUGUCAUUCUAAGUUAUUUUUACUUGAUAAGCACUCCUCAUUCAAAGCAAUUUCAAAACCCACAAAUAAUCAUUGCCUAUUUGCCCAACAUCCUAUGACCAUAUUGAAUCAUCCAAGAAUUGUCAAUAGGAAUAAAUACCAAUUUUGUAUAGAAAUCAGCUGGAAAAAUUUUAAAUGUCAAAACAUUUUAUACGUUUUCCUUUAAAUGAUGUUUAAAUUGUGUGGUUGCUACAGGACAGGCACAGAAGCACGCCAACCCGCCCUAGCCAGUAGUAAAUUGGCAGAGAGAAUAGGCAUAAAUGCAAGAAAACGUUGGACUGCAACUUUCCUACCCAGUUUUAAAAUACAAAGCAAACACUGUGUAUGUGAUGGCAGCACCCUUACCGAAAAGACAUCAUCCAUUUAUCCAUGUCUUACAUGUAAUAAUGUUAACCCAAAAGCUUUCCUAUAUUUAACUGGCUUCCAAAAAGUAGAGUGAAUUUUAUUAGUUUAAGAGCUCUUCCUGGUAUUUAUGUUUAUUUCAAUGUAUCAAACUGUAUUAUUAAUAUAUGUCUCCAGUUAACUUCCAAGGGCUUUUGAGUACAGCUUGCACUGCUUCCUCUCCAUUAUCAACUCCUCUCACGUGCUGAGGUUAAACCCUUGCUGUAGUCAUACACAUCUCUUCACUACUACAUCGUUUUUGUCUCCAUUCCUGUACAAAGUCUAUGAGUAUCUCAUACUGUGAGUUAAGUAUCCACUUGCUACCUGGCUGUCAGCUCCAGCAUCUCCCCAAGGUGAAUACGUGUAAUUUAUGCUUCUAGAUCCUUGCCUUUUCCUCCCCUCACUUCUGCUCUGGCUCCUCCUCUGCUGUCCAUGAAGCAGGGUAAGGAGGCCUGAAGAGGUGCAGGCACUGACUUUUCUCCUCUUCGCACAUCUAGAAUGGGAUUCUGGGCACAUGCUUUGAUAUCUUCCAAACUCAGUUGUCUCAUCUAUAAGAUAAAUACGUUGAAGGAGACGACCUCAAAGUCUCUGGCCUGUGCCCUAAAUUCUACAAGGCCAAGCAGUUCUGAGCUUCUCAAAAGCAGGUCCAUUAUGUGCUGCUUUUUGUUUAUUUAGUUAUUGGUGUUCCCACCAUGUCUGGUACACAUAAUAAACACAGUCUUAAUUAAGUAAAUGCUUGUGGAAUAACCUGACUGCAUUGAGAAUUUUCCUGGGAAUGACUCCGUCUAGCAACACGAGUGCUUAGUGCAGUUGUGUGCUGAAUUUCCUAGUGUCACAGAAACACCAUGGCCGCUCUGGACUCUGAAGCACCCAAAGAUCAGAAGCCCAAGGCACUUACGCAGCUGGACAGAGCCGUAUAAGUUAGAAAGUUCGUCCAGAGAUACAUGUCUACCACGAGAAGUGUCUGCUGCAAGAUGCUGAUGUACACAUCCGCCUCCUGCUAUUUCCAACAAAACCCCAAACCUCUACUAUUAUGAAUAGUGUAGCAAUGAACACAGGCGUGCAUGUAUCUUUUUCAAUGAAAGCUUUGUCUGGACAUUUGCCCAGUGACAAUUUUUUAACUAUCAGACUAGUUAAAAUUUGACUCGUGCAUGCACUUAUAAAGACUGAAAUGUUUCAUGAUCUUUCUACACUACACACUGAAUGAAUUCUACUAGGCACUUCAACAGCGUGAGAAAAAUAUACUUUAUUCUUCUCCAAUUAAUUCGAGUUACUUCUAGAAGACUUCAGUAUACUGCUUUUUUUUUUUUUUUUGAGUCUUGGCUACCUCAGCCUUUUUACAUCGAUAGUAUUUGUUGUUUAUUUUAUUUUCAUUUUUUCUUUUUUGGUUGCCCCGCGGCACAUGGAGUUCCAAGGCCAGAGAUCAGCUCCCAGCCACAGUUGCAACAUACACUGCAGCUGCAACCUACGCCAGCUGUGGCAGUGACAGAUCCUUAAUCCACUGUGCCUCACUGGGGAUUGAAUCCAUGUCCCAGCGCUCCAGGGAUGCUACCAAUCUUGUUGCAGCGAAGCAGGAACUCCCUUUGUAUAUUUUAAUACUAACAUUCAUUCCAAGAAUAAUACAGCAAACACUUAAUUUGAUAUUGUCUAUUGACUCAAAGAGAGAUGUUCCGAUUUUGAGAAAAGCAACAACGGUGAAACCAAACUGCUUAUAA
rnacentral:lncRNA from 1 species